rnacentral:rRNA from 1 species
UAACAAGAAUUUAUAAUUCUCCAAAAUGCAAAUAUAAACCAACAUGGAUUGACCAUUGGUAGUUACCGAACCUAAAUUUACUGCAAUAACACCCACAAGAAAACUCUGCAGUACUUACUCGUUAACCUAACACCAGCGCAUUACAGGAAAGAUUUAAAAAAAGAGAAGGAAUUCGGCAAAUGACGGCCCCGCCUGUUUACCAAAAACAUCGCCUCUUGACUUAUAAUAAGAGGUCCAGCCUGCCCAGUGAAUUUUAAACGGCCGCGGUAUCCUAACCGCGCGAAGGUAGCAUAAUCACUUGUUCUUUAAAUGGGGACUCGUAUCAACGGCAUCACGAGGGUUUUACUGUCUCCUCUUUUUGAUCAGUGAAAUUGAUCUUCCCGUGAAGAAGCGGGAAUAUUUUUAUAAGACGAGAAGACCCCAUGGAGCUUUAAACCAAAUAACAACUUAACUACUUAUCCCACAAUAAAUUUAAGCCCUGUUAUAAGGUUUUUGGUUGGGGUGACCGCGGAGUAAAGCACAUCCUCCACGACGGAAAGAACAUAAUCUUUAUUUAAGAACCACACUUCUAGAAAUUAGUAUACUAACGUUUACUGACCCGACAAUCGAUCAACGGACCAAGUUACCCUGGGGAUAACAGCGCAAUCUACUUCAAGAGCUCAUAUCGACAAGUAGGCUUACGACCUCGAUGUUGGAUCAGGGUAUCCCGGUGGUGCAGCCGCUACC